rnacentral:rRNA from 1 species
AUCUAAGCGUGAAACUCCCUCUAAGAUUAGAUCUCUCAUCCUUUAUGGAGUAAGGCUCGACGUAGACUAUGUCGUUGAUAGGUCGGAGGUGGAAGCGCUGUGAGGCGUGCAGCUGACCGAUACUAAUUAGCCGAGGGCUUGACCUACAA